ACGUGUUUCAAGCAAAAAUGUUUACAAAAUAUGAAUCUACUAACUGAAUACAAUGUCUAUUAGGAAGACCUUUCUUUCUAAUCGGAUUGCUAUCAACAGUGAAACAGAAAUGAUAAACCGUAGAGCAGAUUAGAACUGAAAAGAACUAAAUUCAUUUUUUAGAUUUCAAACAUGUUUGUUUAUCUUGCACAUAUUAAAGUAAACAUUAACAAAAUGUGAAUUUCCACUUAUUGAAUUAUUAGAGAAAUAUGAUUAAGAAUACUGUUUCUCUGAUCAGACUGCCACCACAUGGUAGAGCAACACUGUACUGACAGAGAACGAAUUGAUAAAACGUGGGACAGAUUAGAAUUGAAAUCGGCGGCUUCCCUGUCAAUCUGUCAGCGGUUUACGUAACAUCGGUCGCGCUAUAAUUCCUUAAAUAAAUUCCAAACACACUUCUCGCGCAGACGCUCGCCGAGCAUAUUUAAACUGAUUGCGCAACGCGAACGAGGUUCUUGGUGUAGCUUGUUCUCAUCGGAUUUAACGCUUCUUUUCCGUACACAGUGAGCACGUGCCAGUAACGAGUAAUGAUACAUUUUCCACUUGCGAAAAGAUUGGAGAGUUUAUGCUUGAAUAAAUGUACGCUUGCGAAAGGAUGACGAGGAUCGUUGUAUUUCUCAUCGUUCCUUAGAAUGGUCCGUUCACGUUACCGUAAUCGUACCGUAAGAAAAAUCUUACGGGUUCUCCGGCGACAUUUUGAACUCGAGAGAUGCCUCCGCCGUAAGAAAUAGUACCGUAGCAGGAAAUUGAAGGUAUCAUAUGUUGUCCGACUCCUAUAUCUUUGAGACUGUAAUCUCGUAGAGACUUGUAAUCUAUUGUUAAAUGGGAAAUCGUCACUCUAUAGUUGUUCUCUCUUUUUUAAUAACGCUGCCAAUUGCAAGUAGCAAAUCAGUCACUUUCAGCAAUUUAUUAGGAGUCUGUACGUAUUUGAGAACAUCCUGGCUCAUGAUGUUUCAAAGUUACGAUCGAAUUGACCUGAAAUUUACAGGAUCGGCAGUAAAAAAAAAGUCUAGCAGCUACUCAUACAUAGGUCCUUCGAUUAAAAUUUUCAUUUAAUUGUAAAAGCUAGCAAGAUUGCCAUAGUGUGAAAUGUAAUUUAUAAUUUAUACUUGAAUAAAUAUGUUUAU